GGAUCUGAAGCCGGAAUCGAACGAAAUGUGACUUUGCUCCUUGGGUUCAAGAUGGUGCCCUCAUUUACCUGCACAGUGGAGCCAGAGACGGGAGACGUUAAGGAUCCGAGGUCUGCCAAGGACACUGGCCCUGGAAAAGUGGUCUGAAACUGAACCCACAAUAUCAUGAGGUGUGCCUGUACUGAAUGCUUAGGAAGCCAUUCAGUCUGGAAAUGGCAGUAGGACUCAGCUGUGUUUGGAAUUUCAGAGACUGGUGUGGAGAGUAAAUGUCCCAGGGGUCACAGAUGUAAGGAACGUAUAUCUCCCUGGUGGAGGAUCUGUGCAUUCUCCAGAUGCACACACGUCCAGCCCAGGCUCCAAGGAUAUGAGCAGGGUGUUGGCAGUGCAACCCAUUCACUGGCAAAAAUGGAACCUCUUCUGUUGAAACAUGGGGAUUUUCAGGGUUUAUUUCCAUUCACAUGUUACCCAUGUGAUCUCUGGCACCACAGAUUGAAGCAACUGAACUCUGAGUUAUGCAUGCACAAAUGUUUAAGUAAAGGAAAGAAAUUUCUAUAAGGCCCAUGCCCUUUCUUCCAGCCAAAGACACUUUCCAAGUUCAUUGAAACCGGAAAUCAAUUUUAGAAGAAAUAUGGAGAUUAUUAUCAUUAAAUCAUUCAGUUGGCUUAUUCCAAGCAGCCCUAUAAAUAUUGCAUAUGUUUUAAAGGAGGCAUUUUCAACUACAGUAAAAAUUCUUUUACUUUUCUAGACAGUGAUGCUUCAGGAGGUAAGUUUAUAUUCUAAGCAUCUUUUGAAAACAAAUGAAUAGUUGGUUUGUAUCCUAAACAAAGUCUGCGACAAUAGAAUAUUCCAUUGCCAUUAUUGCUGAAAAAUGAUAUUGAAAAACAUUUAUCUUCAGGAAUCCCUGAGAAUAAAAUAGCAAGAAAAGCUGAUUGGCAUCCAUCCGUCUAUGAUCUAUCUAUAAAUUCACAAUUAUUUACUAAAUACCUAUCAUAUGACACAGUUUUAUAAAUAAAUUUGAUACUUCAAAUAGAUAUGUGAAUCUGUUUUCCCACUGGUAAACAUAACUAAGGUUUACUAUACCUCACAGAUUUGAAAUGUAUCAAUCUUACAAAGCUACCUCAAAAACUGUGAUUUGAACAAUAUAUUAAGCAGAGCCCUGCACAUAGCAGGUCCUCAGUUUUUGUAUUUUUUAAUCAAAGUUUUAAUCUAGAAAUGGACUUUAAAAUUAUGUAUUCUGAUCCUUUUACUUUAUGGAUGAGGAAACUGAGACCCAGAAAGGUGAAUUCUCAAGGCAAACAGUUAACAGGAGUUGGGGUGAGAACCCAAAGCUAUCAGAGAGUGCAUUUCCCACCAUUCAGCCAACUCAACAGAUAUGAAUACUGCCCAUAUUUUCAGACAUGAUUUCCAGUUCAAAAGGAACUUUUAGAAAGAGUUGCUAGACACCAAACUGCUUUUACAAAUAAUUGUUUUGGUGUGUUAAGUGUAAACAAACCAGAAACAUGUGAAUUAAAUUUCCAUUAAAAUACACAAAUAUAAAACCAGUGAGGGGAAGAAAAAUCCCUAGAAAAUGCUUUUGGACAUCAUAGGACCAUUCCUUACCAUCCCUCAACAAAAUUGUUUUUUGCCAAACCUCAGCUGCAAUUUGAUUUGCCAAUCUCUAGUUUUUACUGCUGUUUUCAAUAAUGCAUCAAACACAUGGGAUCUACUCUCUCAUCGAAUCUCAUGCAUAACUGGCCAAGUGAGAUGGAACAAGAGCAGGACAGACACAUACUAAGCAAUGAUGAGCCCAUUACAGUAGCUGGCACGAUUCAAAUUGAGCCAGGGUUACUGAGAACAUACUCUAAUAAUAGCUAGGUAAGUACAUGGAUGGAUAAGAUAUAGUUUCUCCUCCAAAGAACUAAAAUAUAAGGGGCAUGUACCCAGCUAAAUAAAAUUUAAUGUAGAAAAAGAUAAUUGCUAUAAAAUAAACAUUUUUAUAAAGCUUCAUAGAUGCAAGAUACAUCUGCUUAUAGGAAAUGCAGAAGAUAAUAGAGGACAUAUUCAAACAUUUUCAAGGUCAUGCAUUGUAUAUCUUUGUCUUAGCUUCCCAUUUCUGACAUCAGAAUAGUAAUGUUGGUUAGUUUCAGUGAAAUAAUAUAAGCAAAAUGCAUCUAUCCUGCACUCGAUACACUGGCAGCAUAACUAUUACUUCCUCACCCUAGGCCCUCAGCUCUCUUAAUGAUCUGAAAGCUCUAUUGGAUAAAUAGGCAAUAUAUUCUAGAUGGAAUUAUUCAUUUAUUUAGUUCUUCUCUUAGUAAACCAAGCUCUAAAAUUACUCAAUUAUGCUGACAUAGAAUCAUAUAUAUUACAGUUCCAGAAAGCAAAACGGAGAAUGGAAAAAUAAGUUUGGUGAGCAGGAACCUCUAUUUCCAGAUAGUCCUGCUCUUUAAAAUUUAUAUCAAAAAGAUAAAUUCCUAGAACUAAUUAAUACUUUCAAAUCUAGCAUAUAGUUUGGUACAUAGUAUAUGCUCACUACAUGUUUACUGAAAGAAUGAGUGAACUUGGAAUGAAUAUACUCUGUUCAUGUUUACUUGAUCCCAUUUGAGUUAGGCAGAAUUUUCAGAAUGAUCCUCAAUGACUCCUACCCUCAUAUACUCCCCCAGGUCCCCCCUUUUUGAGUGUGGGUGGAAUCCAUGCACAUUAUAUAUAUCUGUGGCAUGGCAAAGGAUUCUUCACUUGACUUUCAGUAAAUCAAAAGGGGGAUUUGGGGCAGUGUUGGGUGUGAGUGGGCAGGGGAGAACCUUUAAAAGCAGUUUUCUCUGGCUGGUGUUCUAGAGGAAGCUGGGAAGAUUGGGAGCAUUGGACUUGCUGUACUAUUCAUGGUUUGAAAAUGGAGGGGACUAUGUGAGCAGAAAUGUUGGUAGCUUCUAGCCAGCAAGGAAAGGAGGACCUCAGUUCUACAACUGCAAGGGACUGAAUUUCUUUUAAAACCUGAAUGAGCUCAUAAGGGGACUGUUCCUCAGAACCUCCAGAAUAGGGACCUAGACUGGCAGAUGUCUUGACACUGGUCUUUGAGACCUGAAGAGGAGCACCUAGUUAAUUCUGCCCAGACUUGUAGCCUGCAGAAUAGAACUGUGAUGUGAUAAAUGGGUGGUGUUUUAAGCUACUAAAUUUUCACAUAUCCUUAAAUAUACUUUAAGCCUAAGAAAAAAACAGUAUCAUAAUUCCAGUUUAUGGGAUAAACUGACAGUGUAAGGAAAUUGGAAUAAUAAUGUAACUAUAACAGUUAGCAAUUCUAAGAUAUUUAUUCUGUCCAAGGUCCUGGGCUUUACAGGGAUAUUUCAUUCAGUCCUCACAUCAACCUCAUGAGGUAGUUACAGAGUCCAACUUCUAUAGAGGAGUAAAUGAAGAGAAGAGUGACUUUCUCAAAGUCACACAUCUAGAAUGCAGCAAUGUCAGGACUCAACUCAGGCUUUAGAGUCAGUCUGACUCCUUAACCACUGAGCCACUCUGUUAAUAUUAAAUGAGAAGAGCCAGAAAUAAUUUUUUUAAAUCCACACACAUGGAUUUUAGCAUGUUUACUUUUCAUUUAGAUAUGAUGAAAUAGCAUGCAUGUCACCAUGUGUCCCAAUGGUUCAUCUGUCCUCACUAUUCUCUACCCAUUUCCCCCACUGGUCAAGUGCCAGCAUGCUGAGAAAUGAGGCUGGUGUUGACAAUGCCUGAACAAAUUGUCUGUUGGAUCUGGGGAAGGUGGGUUGUUGGAAGAAAAUAAGGCUGUGGUGCAUUUUCUUGUGUGAUGAGAUGCUUCAAAUAGUCAAUGCGGCUGCCUUCUCUAGUAUCCUAAAACAGCCAAAAUCUGUGAGUCACUCUGUUUAAAGAAUCAUGAGAAUCCCACUCCCAG